UCAAUUUUCAUAGAUAUACAUAAAUGGCAUAAAUGCCUACAAAAGUUGCACAAAAAGGAUACAAUCUUUAGGGAAAGGAAAAUAACAUGAGAAAAAGAAUGAUGUCCCACGCAGGGGAUAGGAAAUACUAAUUCCCGAAUGCUUCUUCUAUCGGCCUUCGCCCUCUUAGCUUGGUUCACUUUUUGUUAGUGGCGACAUCCAUUGAUGAUCAAGCGAUUGCCGUAUACCUGUGCUCUAGAUGCAACCGUCCAAAUCGAUCAAUUUCUUGCUUGGCAUGCUUCAAUUCCUUCCUCAAUUGGUGUACGAUUGAGGCAUCCUUACACAAAAGUAAGUAAAGUAAGUCUUCUCCCGACCCCCAAAGGAUAUUGGAUUGGAUUAAACAAACAUAUAUUUCUUCAACAAAUAAAUAUGGUUCGUCUGUAAUUGACUCGGGGUCAAUAGACGCAGGGCAAGUUUUUUAAUGGGCCCAAUAACCCCUCGAGUAUUAGGUCUUCCUAGGCUCAUGCCUAAAAUAGGGUUUUGGUUUCGAUCUAUCCUAGGUGUCUAGAGUGGGUUUGAACCAGGUUUUCAAGCGGAUAACUUGGAUUUGGAAAUACAAAUAGUCAUCAGACGACUCACGUGCUAAUAAACCAUCGUAUUUCCAACAUUUUAUUUGGAAUUAAACAACAGGGGCCUGGACAUCUACGAAACCCCAAAACAACUUAAUAAAUCAAUGCAAGGUUAUGCUAUGAGAUGCAAUAAUUAAAUACCACGAAAUCAAAACAUAUAAACACAUAAAUAGUUAAUCAAAAGACAAAAUCAAAUAUUUAGUUAGAACCUAGUUGAAUAGUCCCCAGCGAAAUCGUCAUUUCUUUUUUGUAAAAAUUUUAACUUUUGAGAGUCGCCACUUAAUUUUUAAAAGGAAAUAAGAAACCUUCAUACGAUACUUUAAACGAUCCAAAAUAGAAAAAUCAUUUAAGUUUUGAAGAUUCUGAGUAAGCGCUUCUUAUUAACGUUUUAGGCACCUAAAACGUCCGCUAACUUGCGGUUAUCCAAGUUGUUUGAAAAUAUCUUUAGACUAACUUCAAAAGAUUGAUUGUUGAAAAGCCAUUGAUUUUAGAAAGCGAUUCGUGUAAAAUAGAUUUGGACGACUUAGUAGGGACUUUUUAAGUCUAAAGAAAUGAAAGGCAAAUAAACACAUAAAAAGGGAAAGGGAGGAGGAAAUAAAAGACUUAGGCCAUUGGACCCAAAUCAACAAAACCUGUCCUAAUCUAGUUGGGCUUGGGUUUUCGACCCAUUUUUCACCUGUCCUAAUCUACGUUUGCGAGUUUUUCGACCCAAAAUCCGCUCCACCUAUAUUAAAUUUACAUCUUUGGCUUCGAGUCACAAAUGAAUGAAGAAAUAGAUAAAUAAACAGACUAAUUAAAUAAAAGUAAAAGACAACAAUAAUAAUAAAUAAUAUGAGAAUUUUAAGUCUCUUAGCUACUUUGCCAAUGGGUUUCAGCCCGUUUUCUUCCAUCUUCUUGUAUCCAUGUGCUACAUAACCGGCUCUGAAUUUCCUUUUGGGCUUGAUCCGAUAGAUGUGGUGGGCCUCGAUGGCCCAUUAAGAGAUGCAAAGGGGAGCCCAUUUGGGCUCCGAAACGGGUGUACAUGCAAAGAAAGAAGAAUGAAGGAAAUUAAUACAUGAUUAACCCAAAAGAAAGGGAAAACAAAGGGAACAACUUUUAUUCAUCUUAACAGUUAUUGAUCUAGAAAUAGCUAUAAGGAUUUUCCAGACGUUUUAAAGAUCAAGGCUUUUGUAAUUCCUUAAUGUGAUGGUAAAUCUACUGAUUUUGUCAUUACACGAAACCUUUAUUUAGACAACCAAUCAACAUCAAGGAAAUUAGCUACUAAAGAACGAAGAAACAUUUCAAUUUUAACACAAAAUAACCAUUCAAAUUAGCUAGAACUAAGUGAGUGGGCAGAAUACAUUUAUUAAAAUUAGGGCAGAAUCUGCAACUAUACCCGAACAUGCCAAUUCCAAAAUUGCACCUACGGCGAUCUAAAAAUAGAUGAUCCAAGAAGAACAAUAAAACUACUAGGAAAGCAAUAUGCCAAUUCGGAAAAGACUAUCUACAUGAGCAACAGCUAAGUUAAUACGAACAACUAUUAAGCGGCCAGUACAAAUAUCCCUUGGUCUAUAACAAUUAUCUAGAAAUGAAAACGAACGCAACCAUUCUCCAAAACACGGUCUUACAAAACUUCAAGAGUUUUAGACCCUGAAAUUAUUAUCUAAAUGGGGGAAGAAAAUGAUGCAAACCAGGUUCAAGAAAAAUCUGCAAGCUAUAUGGAUUUUUCAACAUCAAAGACAGCCAACGAUUAUUGGGGAUUCAUAGGGAGAGUUCUUAUUCACGAUAAUGAAUGGAAAAAGCAAGUAGAAAAUUCCCACUUAACAAAAGAAAUUCAUGCACAGACCAAAGAAAAACAAAGCAUAGCCAAGAACAGGUAUUACUAUCAUUCAUAUGUAAGGAAAAAGAAACUUUCUGCAUUAUUGGACAUGAGAACAAAAUAGGAUGCUAUUUUCUUGAUUAUGCUCCUACAAAGAUUCUAACUUUAGGCUUAUGAUCAAAAAUCAGACAACGUCAAACCAGCAUGAGGUCGCAGAUUUUAAUGAAAAAGCCAAAACAAACAGAGAUGAAACCAUGAACCAAGAAAUUAGACACUUAAGAAAAAAUUAUCACUGCCAUAUUAUAGACCUUACAUUCAUCAGUCAAACUCAUGGCAUUUGGAGCCCCUAUAGCAAAUAAUCACAAUAUCACCAUAAUUAUAAACAUACAACGACCUAUACAAUAGAACUCACUUUUAUCAUUCGAAAAGACCACACAGCCUCUACGACAGACCUCACUUUCAUCAUUCAAAGAACCAUAACCCACAGAGAAAAGGGACGAAGAAGAAAUAUACUGAUAAAAUCAAGCGGGGAAAGGUAUAUU
rnacentral:lncRNA from 1 species